CCUACGGGUGGCAGCAGUGAGGAAUAUUGGUCAAUGGGCGGGAGCCUGAACCAGCCAAGUCGCGUGAGGGAAGACGGUCCUAUGGAUUGUAAACCUCUUUAGGCGGGGAGCAAUGCCGGGCACGUGUGCCCGGAGGGAGAGUACCCGCAGAAUAAGCAUCGGCUAACUCCGUGCCAGCAGCCGCGGUAAUACGGAGGAUGCGAGCGUUAUCCGGAUUUAUUGGGUUUAAAGGGUGCGUAGGCGGGCAUUUAAGCCGGCGGUCAAAUGUCGGGGCUCAACCCCGGCCUGCCGUCGGAACUGGGUGCCUUGAGUGGGCGAGAAGUAUGCGGAAUGCGUGGUGUAGCGGUGAAAUGCAUAGAUAUCACGCAGAACCCCGAUUGCGAAGGCAGCAUACCGGCGCCCUACUGACGCUGAGGCACGAAAGUGCGGGUAUCGAACAGGAUUAGAUACCCCGGUAGUC
rnacentral:rRNA from 1 species